rnacentral:rRNA from 1 species
UACAGAGGUCCCAAGCGUUGUUCGGAUUCACUGGGCGUAAAGGGUGCGUAGGUGGUGAGGUAAGUCGGAUGUGAAAUCUCCGAGCUCAACUCGGAAAUUGCAUUGGAAACUACCUUGCUAGAGGGUUGGAGGGGGGACUGGAAUACUUGGUGUAGCAGUGAAAUGCGUAGAGAUCAUGAGGAAGACCAGUGGCGAAGGCGGGUCUCUGGACAGUUCCUGACACUGAGGCACGAAGGCCAGGGGAGCAAACGGG